rnacentral:rRNA from 1 species
UACGUAGGGUGCAAGCGUUGUCCGGAAUUAUUGGGCGUAAAGAGCUCGUAGGCGGUUUGUCGCGUCUGCUGUGAAAUCUGGAGGCUCAACCUCCAGCCUGCAGUGGGUACGGGCAGACUAGAGUGCGGUAGGGGAGAUUGGAACUCCUGGUGUAGCGGUGGAAUGCGCAGAUAUCAGGAAGAACACCGAUGGCGAAGGCAGAUCUCUGGGACGGUACUGACACUGAGACGCGAAAGCGUGGGGAGCAAACAGG